rnacentral:rRNA from 1 species
GACGAACGCUGGCGGCGUGCUUAACACAUGCAAGUCGAACGAAGAGCGAUGGAGGCUUACUUCUAUCAAUUUUAGUGGCGAACGGGUGAGUAACGCGUAAUCAACCUGUCCUUGAGAGGGGGACAACAGUUGGAAACGACUGCUAAUACGGCAUACGAUCUAAUCUCGGCAUCCAGUAUAGAUGGAAGGUGUUGCCUACAUGUAUACUAUCACUCAAGGAGGGUAUUGCGGCUGAUUAGGUAGUUGGAUGGGUAAAGGCCCAACAAGGGGAAGAUCAGUAGGCCGUCUUGGAGGAUGAACCGCCACAUUGGGAAUGGGACACCGGUCCGAACCCCUACGGGAGGAGGCGUGAGGGAUUCUCCGGAAUGGAGCGAAGGCUGGACGGGGCAAGGCCGGUGAGUGGUGAAGGGUUUCCGGUUGUAAAGACUCUUUAAUCAGGGAGAAAGGAAUUUUUAAGAAACGUGGCACGUCUUGACGGUACCGGAACAGAAAGCCACGGCUAACUACGUG